rnacentral:misc_RNA from 1 species
UCCAGCAACCCAUCUUCUAGAAAGAGUGGUAACCCGAAGUCUCAUUUGUCCGCUACUGUGCUGAUAAUAUGUCAAAAACUGGAAAUAAAACUGUGGAUUUGCAGAUUGAGCAAUUGCAUCUGGGCUCUCCUUCUUGGCAACUUCAAAUAUUAAACAAAACGUUGAAGAUUUAUCAAGACCACACAUCUUCCAAGCUGUUGUAUUUCCCUGACCUACGACAACCUCAGAG